rnacentral:tRNA from 1 species
GGGUGCUUAGCUCAGUUGGUAGAGCAGCGCCUUUACAUGGCGUAGGUCGGCGGUUCGAGUCCGUCAGCACCCACCA